rnacentral:lncRNA from 1 species
GAACAGACCAGAUUCCAGAGACCAACAUCCUUGCAUCCUCCACAUCAGCUUUACAAAGGGCAAGCUCUGGGUUUUUCCCGUAGGUCUGACGCAUUCAUGCUGUUGCCUUGUCCUCUCUUGGAUUGCUUGCUCCAGAGAAAGGCAGGUGCCAUGUAGUGAGAACAUUCAAUCAGCCCUAUGGAAAGGGCCAUGUGGCGAAGCACUGAGGCCUCCUGCCACACUGAGGCCUUCUGCCAAAAGCCACAUGAGUGAGCCAUCCAGGAUGUGACUCUUCCAAUCCCAACUGAGACAUCAGAUGACCAAAGCCAAGCUCUUGACUGCAACCUUUGAGCAACUCUGAGUCACAGCAACCCAGCUAAGAUGCUACCAAAUGCCUGACCUGCAGAACCUGGGAAAUAAUAAAUGUUUGUUGUUUUA